GGGCAUGUGGUGUAAUGGAAACACUAAGGGUCUCACUAUCACAGCCCUUAAUGUUGGUUCAAAUCCAACCGUGCCCA